rnacentral:sRNA from 1 species
CACACACAGGAGUGGUUAAGAUGGGAGAGCCAUCAAAACCGUCCGGUGCUAACAGCCGUUAGUCACUAUCCUGUGGAGGUAUAACCGGAAAAGGAGUAUUUAC